rnacentral:rRNA from 1 species
UAGCGGAGGGAGCUAGCGUUGUUCGGAUAUACUGGGCGUAAAGCGCACGUAGGCGGCGCAGCAAGUCAGGGGUGAAAUCCCGGAGCUCAACUCCGGAACUGCCCUUGAAACUGCAGUGCUAGAAUCCUGGAGAGGCGAGUGGAAUUCCGAGUGUAGAGGUGAAACUUCGUAGAUAUUCGGAAAGAACACCAGUGGCGAAGGCGACUCGCUGGACAGGUAUUGACGCUGAGGUAGCGAAAGCGUGGGGAGCAAACAGG